UUUUUCUGAAUGAAACAAAGGAGUAGUAAGGAAUUAAUCCAUAGCCUAUAUUGGAAAACCUAUAUUAAAUACAAUUUAAUGUCUAGCCUAUAAUUUGAGUUUAUUGGAAAUCCUAUUAAAUACAAUUGAUACAAUUUAAUAUAAUUGAUAUACUUUUCUGAUAUGCAUUGACCAGCAUUGUUUACAUGUCUACCUUAUUGAUAUGCAUUAAUAUGC
rnacentral:lncRNA from 1 species